rnacentral:rRNA from 1 species
AAAGAACUUACCUCACAGUUAGGGACAACAUUUUGAAACGAAUGCUAAUACCUGAGAUUAUGAUUUUAGGGCAUCCUAAGAUUAUGAAAGCUAUAUGCGCUGUGAGAGAGCUUUGCGUCCCAUUAGCUAGUUGGAGAGGUAACGGCUCACCAAGGCGAUGAUGGGUAGCCGGCCUGAGAGGGUGAACGGCCACAAGGGGACUGAGACACGGCCCUUACUCCUACGGGAGGCAGCAGUGGGGAAUAUUGGACAAUGGACCAAAAGUCUGAUCCAGCAAUUCUGUGUGCACGAUGACGUUUUUCGGAAUGUAAAGUGCUUUCAGUUGGGAAGAAAAAAAUGACGGUACCAACAGAAGAAGUGACGGCUAAAUACGUGCCAGCAGCCGCGGUAAUACGUAUGUCACAAGCGUUAUCCGGAUUUAUUGGGCGUAAAGCGCGUCUAGGUGGUUAUGUAAGUCUGAUGUGAAAAUGCAGGGCUCAACUCUGUAUUGCGUUGGAAACUGCAUGACUAGAGUACUGGAGAGGUAAGCGGAACUACAAGUGUAGAGGUGAAAUUCGUAGAUAUUUGUAGGAAUGCCGAUGGGGAAGCCAGCUUACUGGACAGAUACUGACGCUAAAGCGCGAAAGCGUGGGUAGCAAACAGGAUUAGAUACCCUGGUAGUCCACGCCGUAAACGAUGAUUACUAGGUGUUGGGGGUCGAACCUCAGCGCCCAAGCUAACGCGAUAAGUAAUCCGCCUGGGGAGUACGUACGCAAGUAUGAAACUCAAAGGAAUUGACGGGGACCCGCACAAGCGGUGGAGCAUGUGGUUUAAUUCGACGCAACGCGAGGAACCUUACCAGCGUUUGACAUCUUAGGAAUGAGACAGAGAUGUUUCAGUGUCACUUCGGUGAAACCUAAAGACAGGUGGUGCAUGGCUGUCGU